rnacentral:rRNA from 1 species
UGGUGGAGUGAUUUGUCUGCUUAAUUGCGUUAACGAACGAGACCUUCACCUGCUAAAUAGCUACGUGAGCCCCUGGCUCACGGCCAGCUUCUUAGAGGGACUAUGCGAGUCAAUCGCAUGGAAGCGGGAGGCAAUAACA